GACGAACGCUGGCGGCGUGCUUAACACAUGCAAGUCGUACGGUAAGGCCCUUUCGGGGGUACACGAGUGGCGAACGGGUGCGUAACACGUGAGUAACCUGCCCACAACUUUGGGAUAACGCUAGGAAACUGGUGCUAAUACUGGAUAUGUGCUCCUGCUGCAUGGUGGGGGUUGGAAAGCUCCGGCGGUUGUGGAUGGACUCGCGGCCUAUCAGCUUGUUGGUGGGGUAGUGGCCUACCAAGGCGGCGACGGGUAGCCGGCCUGAGAGGGUGACCGGCCACAUUGGGACUGAGAUACGGCCCAGACUCCUACGGGAGGCAGCAGUGGGGAAUAUUGCACAAUGGGCGCAAGCCUGAUGCAGCAACGCCGCGGGCGGGAUGACGGCCUCCGGGUUGUAAACCGCUUUCAGCAGGGACGAAGCUUUUUGUGACGGUACCUGCAGAAGAAGCACCGGCUAACUACGUG
rnacentral:rRNA from 1 species